rnacentral:rRNA from 1 species
AACGAACGCUGGCGGCAUGCCUAACACAUGCAAGUCGAACGAGACCUUCGGGUCUAGUUGCGCACGGCUGCUUAACGCGUGGUAACCUGCCCUUAGGUUACGUAUAACUCCCUGAAAGGUGUCCUCAUACCUCUUCGUGUCUUCCCACCAAAGAUUUAUCGCUUUGGGAUGGGCCCUCGUUGGAUUAGCUCGUUGGUAGGGUAAAAGCCUCCUAAGGCGACGAUCCAUAGCUGGUCUGAGAGGAUGAUCAUCCACACUGGGACUGAGACACGGCCCAGACGCCUACGGGAGGCAGCAGUGGGGAAUAUUGGACAAUGGGCGAAAGCCUGAUACAGCAAUGCCGGGUGAGUGAUGAAGGCCUUAGGGUUGUAAAGCUCUUUUACCCGGGAUGAUAAUGACAGUACCGGGAGAAUAAGCUCCGGCUAACUCCGU